AGGUUGAAGAGACGAAGGACGACGGUGGGAAGAAGGAAGAUGGAUCGAUAACAGUGAUUUUGAUUGUCAAUUUGCGUUGCAAAGGAUGUACGAAGAAAGUGAAACGGGCUGUUAAAGGUUUUCAAGGGCUUCUCUUCCAACUUAAGCGACCCAACAUUGAAGAUCAAUCAAGAACGCCAUUCCCAGAACAGACACACCUAAGAUGAGAGUUUCCGAUUUGAUAACUGUAAUGAACUUUAUCUGGACAUAGCAUUAAUCAGUUUUCCA